UCGGCACUGGCAAAGUGGUGUAAGCAAAGUGUGAGAAUCUGGGGCUACCAGUUCUGUUUACAGGUAAUUUGUACAAACAUCUGCAAAAGUUUGAAACCCCUGCCUCCAUAUAAUGAGGCAGAUAACAAUCAGCUACAAACAUCUACAAAGGAUUGGGUUUUGACUACCCUAGCUCUAUAAAAUGUCCUUUGGGAGACUGCACUGAGCAGAUGAAAUGAACACUGCAAAUCUCUGGCCAUCCUAUCAGCACAGACCCUUUUCUUUGCGUGCAACCUGGUAUAUUGACUUACUUAGGAAGAGAGACUCUUGAAGUAGAGAGUGUGUGAAAUGAAGCAGAUAACCAUCAGCAAACAGAGGAAAUUGUUAGCUAACACAGCCUACAUAGAGUAUACUGAAUUGACUUUUACCAUCUGAUCAAUGGAAAAUUUGAUAAGCUGUUCCUGCCAAUACAUUAAGCUAUUUUCCCAUAAGAUUAGAGGGUGAUGCUAGAAUUCUACUAGAUCGUAUUUUGCAGCAGAUUAUAUUGUUCUGCUUUAAUGUUCCAAUUGAGAAGAAUUAGCAUU